GACGGAGGGGGCAAGCGUUGUUCGGAAUUAUUGGGCGUAAAGGGCUCGUAGGCGGACCUGUAAGUUUGACGUGAAAUCUCCACCGCUCACCGGGGAGGGGCCGUUGAAUACUGCAGGUCUGGAGUUCGGCAGAGGACCAUGGAAUUCCAGGUGUAGCGGUGAAAUGCGCAGAUAUCAGGAGGAACACCGAUGGCGAAGGCAGGUCUCUGGGCCACUACUGACGCUGAGAAGCGAAAGCGUGGAGAGCGAACAGG
rnacentral:rRNA from 1 species